CAAUAGCGUAUAUUAAAGUUGUUGCAGUUAAAAAGCUCGUAGUUGGAUUUCGGGACGGGCCAGUUGGUCCGCCGCAAGGUGUGUUACUGACUGGUCUGUUCUUCUUCGCAAAGACUGCGUGUGCUCUUCGUUGAGUGUGCGUAGGAUUUACGACGUUUACUUUGAAAAAAUUAGAGUGUUCAAAGCAGGCUAUCGCUUGAAUACAUGAGCAUGGAAUAAUGGAAUAGGACUUUGGUCCUAUUUUGUUGGUUUCUAGGACCGAAGUAAUGAUUAAGAGGGACAAUUGGGGGCAUCCGUAUUUCGUUGUCAGAGGUGAAAUUCUUGGAUUUACGAAAGACGAACAACUGCGAACGCACUUGCCAAGAGUGUUUUCAUUAA
rnacentral:rRNA from 1 species